GACGAACGCUGGCGGCGUGCCUAAUACAUGCAAGUUGAGCGAUGAAGAUUGGUGCUUGCACCAAUUUGAAGAGCAGCGAACGGGUGAGUAACGCGUGGGGAAUCUGCCUUUGAGCGGGGGACAACAUUUGGAAACGAAUGCUAAUACCGCAUAAUAACUUUAAACAUAAGUUUUAAGUUUGAAAGAUGCAAUUGCAUCACUCAAAGAUGAUCCCGCGUUGUAUUAGCUAGUUGGUGAGGUAAAGGCUCACCAAGGCGAUGAUACAUAGCCGACCUGAGAGGGUGAUCAGCCACAUUGGGACUGAGACACGGCCCAAACUCCUACGGGGGGCAGCAGUAGGGAAUCUUCGGCAAUGGACGAAAGUCUGGCCGAGCAACGCCGCGUGAGUGAAGAAGGUUUUCGGAUCGUAAAACUCUGUUGGUAGAGAAGAACGUUGGUGAGAGUGGAAAGCUCAUCAAGUGACGGUAACUACCCAGAAAGGGACGGCUAACUACGUG
rnacentral:rRNA from 1 species